rnacentral:rRNA from 1 species
UACGUAGGUCCCGAGCGUUGUCCGGAUUUAUUGGGCGUAAAGCGAGCGCAGGCGGUUCUUUAAGUCUGAAGUUAAAGGCAGUGGCUUAACCAUUGUACGCUUUGGAAACUGGAGGACUUGAGUGCAGAAGAGGAAAGUGGAAUUCCAUGUGUAGCGGUGAAAUGCGUAGAGAUUUGGAGGAACACCAGUGGCGAAGGCGACUGUCUGGCUGAUAACUGACGCUCAGGCACGAAAGCGUGGGGAGCAAACAGG